rnacentral:tRNA from 2 species
GCUUCCGUGGCUCAGGGGUAGAGCAGCUCACUCGUAAUGAGCAGGUCGUCGGUUCAAAUCCGACCGGGAGCUCCA